rnacentral:rRNA from 1 species
UACGAAGGGGGCUAGCGUUGCUCGGAAUGACUGGGCGUAAAGGGCGCGUAGGCGGAUGGCUUUGUCGGGCGUGAAAUUCCAGGGCUUAACCUUGGGGCUGCGUUCGAGACGGGCAAACUGGAGUACUGCAGGGGAGACUGGAAUUCCUGGUGUAGCGGUGAAAUGCGCAGAUAUCAGGAGGAACACCGGUGGCGAAGGCGGGUCUCUGGGCCGUUACUGACGCUGAGGAGCGAAAGCGUGGGGAGCGAACAGG